rnacentral:tRNA from 1 species
GCGCCCGUAGCUCAGCUGGAUAGAGCGUCUGGCUACGAACCAGAAGGUCGCAUGUUCGAAUCAUGCCGGGCGCACCA